rnacentral:rRNA from 1 species
UACAGAGGUCCCAAGCGUUGUUCGGAUUUACUGGGCGUAAAGGGCGCGUAGGCGGCCAUGCGUGUCUUCCGUGAAAUCCCUCGGCUUAACUGAGGACGUGCGGAAGAAACUGCAAGGCUCGAGUCCGGGAGAGGGGGGUGGAAUUCCCAGUGUAGCGGUGAAAUGCGUAGAUAUUGGGAGGGACACCGGUGGCGAAGGCGGCCCCCUGGACCGGUACUGACGCUGAGGCGCGAAAGCGUGGGUAGCAAACGGG